CCAGUCGGCAAGCCGCCUCGCGGGCUGCCUCGUGGGCACCACCCGUGCCACGAGGCGGCGGCCGGCGAAGGCAGUGCCCAGGUGGCGGCAGCUGACGACAUGGAGCGUCCGGCGCGCGUGGAUCCCCUUGGGCCGGUGGUGGUCGAAGGGGUGGUGGGCGAUGAAGGAGGUGCUGGCGCUGACCGUGUCCACCAUCAUCAUGGCUGCCGCUGGAUCCGCCCUGCUCCUCUGCUCCGCGGCGACCUUCAUCCAGAGCCCCACCGACGUGUUCG
rnacentral:lncRNA from 1 species